rnacentral:rRNA from 1 species
UACGGAGGGGGCUAGCGUUGUUCGGAAUCACUGGGCGUAAAGCGCACGUAGGCGGCUUUGUAAGUUAGGGGUGAAAGCCCGGGGCUCAACUCCGGAACUGCCUUUAAGACUGCAUCGCUUGAAUUGUGGAGAGGUGAGUGGAAUUCCGAGUGUAGAGGUGAAAUUCGUAGAUAUUCGCAAGAACACCAGUGGCGAAGGCGGCUUACUGGACACAUAUUGACGCUGAGGUACGAAAGCGUGGGGAGCAAACAGG